rnacentral:rRNA from 1 species
UGGGGAAUAUUGGACAAUGGGCGAAAGCCUGAUCCAGCCAUGCCGCGUGUGUGAAGAAGGUCUUCGGAUUGUAAAGCACUUUAAGUUGGGAGGAAGGGUUGUAGAUUAAUACUCUGCAAUUUUGACGUUACCGACAGAAUAAGCACCGGCUAACUCUGUGCCAGCAGCCGCGGUAAUACAGAGGGUGCAAGCGUUAAUCGGAAUUACUGGGCGUAAAGCGCGCGUAGGUGGUUUGUUAAGUUGGAUGUGAAAUCCCCGGGCUCAACCUGGGAACUGCAUCCAAAACUGGCAAGCUAGAGUAUGGUAGAGGGUGGUGGAAUUUCCUGUGUAGCGGUGAAAUGCGUAGAUAUAGGAAGGAACACCAGUGGCGAAGGCGACCACCUGGACUGAUACUGACACUGAGGUGCGAAAGCGUGGGGAGCAAACAGGAUUAGAUACCCCCGUAGUCCCUGAGCGGGCUGGCAAGGCGCAU